rnacentral:rRNA from 1 species
GUCGAGCGAGAAAGUGACUUCGGUCGCGAGUAAAGCGGCGAACGGGUGAGUACAACGUGGAUAAUCUACCCUAGGGUCUGGGACAACCCCGAGAAAUCGGGGCUAAUACCGGAUAAGACCACAGUAUCCAAGGAUACAGCGGUAAAAGAUUUAUCGCCUUUGGAUGAGUCCACGCCCCAUCAGGUAGUUGGUAAGGUAAAGGCUUACCAAGCCUAAGACGGGUAGCCGGCCUUAGCGGGUGAACGGCCACAUGGGGACUGAGACACGGCCCUGACUCCUACGGGAGGCAGCAGUGGGGAAUAUUGGGCAAUGGGCGAAAGCCUGACCCAGCGAUGUCGCGUGAGGGAUGAAGGCCUUCGGGUUGUAAACCUCUGUCAGGAGGGACGAUGGGACACUUGUGUCUUGACGGUACCUCCAGAGGAAGCCCCGGCUAACUCCGUGCCAGCAGCCGCGGUAAUACGGAGGGGGCAAGCGUUGCUCGGAAUUACUGGGCGUAAAGGGUCCGCAGGCUGUCAGGCAAGUUGGUUGUGAAAUCCCAAGGCUUAACCUUGGAAUUGCAUCCAAAACUGCCUGACUAGAGUCCAAGAGAGGUUGGCGGAAUUCCCGGUGUAGCGGUGAAAUGCAUAGAUAUCGGGAGGAACACCAGAGGCGAAGGCGGCCAACUGGCUUGGUACUGACGCUCAGGGACGAAAGCGUGGGUAGCAAACCGGAUUAGAUACCCGGGUAGUCCACGCCCUAAACGAUGGAUGCUAGGUAGGGGGAAUUUAAUUCUCCCUGCCGUAGUUAACGCAUUAAGCAUCCCGCCUGGGGAGUACGGUCGCAAGGCUGAAACUCAAAGGAAUUGGCGGGGGCCCGCACAAGCGGUGGAGCACGUGGUUUAAUUCGAUGCUAAGCGAAAA